CCUACGGGUGGCAGCAGUGAGGAAUAUUGGUCAAUGGACGAGAGUCUGAACCAGCCAAGUAGCGUGAAGGAUGACUGCCCUAUGGGUUGUAAACUUCUUUUAUAUGGGAAUAAAACGUUCCACGUGUGGGAUUUUGUAUGUACCAUAUGAAUAAGGAUCGGCUAACUCCGUGCCAGCAGCCGCGGUAAUACGGAGGAUCCGAGCGUUAUCCGGAUUUAUUGGGUUUAAAGGGAGCGUAGGUGGAUUGUUAAGUCGGUUGUGAAAGUUUGCGGCUCAACCGUAAAAUUGCAGUUGAAACUGGCAGUCUUGAGUACAGUAGAGGUGGGCGGAAUGCGGGGUGUAGCGGUGAAAUGCUUAGAUAUCACGAAGAACUCCGAUUGCGAAGGCAGUUCACUGGACUGCAACUGACACUGAGGCUCGAAAGUGUGGGUAUCAAACAGGAUUAGAUACCCUGGUAGUC
rnacentral:rRNA from 1 species